rnacentral:lncRNA from 1 species
CUGCCAUUUACCUACCUGUUGAUAUGCCUUUUUUAAAAAAAAUAAAUCUGAGUUUAACGAAACAAAGUAGGGCAGGCCCACCACAGCUCCUGUAAGACUUCUCUGUUACUUUUCAGAAAAUAGGAAGUUAAAAAAGAAAAAGCUUCCUAUCAUUAUAUCCACUCGGGGUAUCAACAGUUAGGGAAGCACAAUAUUUUAAGUCUUAAAAGCCAUUAUUUUCUCCACACAUUGUCUGUGAAGAUGAAAAGAUAGAGUUCAAUGUUUGUAUGCGGAAUAAAUUGAGGAGUGGUUUCUGCAGGAAGAUUUUCUUUUGGGGUGCCUGCAUUAAACAAGCAAGUUUUUAAACUGAAGGAGGAUAAUACAUUGAAAUGAUAGGAAAGGAAGAGAAGUUCACAGUUAUGAGGAUACUAUAAGGACUGGUUGAACUGAAGGGUGGGUAAGAAAUUAGAUGCUUGCAGAGCACAAAUAAAUGGGUUGAAGAGACUUAGGUAAGAGAUUUCAUUUUUCCACCUGUCUUUAAUUUUUCCCCUUUUUUUUUCAUCACUGAUAUUAUAAGGAUAUAAUCCUUAUAUUCUUACUAUGGAAAUAUAUUUACACAAAUGAGCAUUUAUUUACAUUUCAAAUUUGUAUGCCUACUCUUUUUUUGCCUCAAGAUCUUGGCAGAGGUAUCUCUAUUAUCCCAUGAGAAUCUAUGGAAUAUAAAUAGGUCCCUAAGUCAUGUCUGACAGCUUCAGUUAAUGUGGGCAGGUAGAUUUUACUCUAUGAAAUACGCUUCAUCCAUAACAAUUCAAGUGUACUGCACAAGUUAUGUGAGAAGAGAUGCAAGGUGUGUAAAGAGUUAAAGCUUCCAUGGUAACCUCAGCAGCGAGGAUGCAAUUGGUUCGUUUGGUCCCUUCUGUCACGUCUUGAUUCCAUGCCAACAAAUCAUGAACUGUCCAUCAUUUACACAUCUAUUUUUAGAGCAUCCUCAGCUGCUUCCAAUAAAAUGAUAAAUGAUACAUAUUCACAGAGGGCUCAUACUGGUCACAGAAAGGGCUGUUUCCAUCUGAAAUGCAAGGCUGGAGCUCUGGAGCAGAACAACAUCACAAAGGAUUCUUAGCCAAGUUGUGGACACUAAUGGAAAUAAUUUAAAUGAGGAAAAAAUUGGAUUAAAAAAUGAAAUCUAAAAUGGCUCAGGUAUGUGUUAGCUCAGAGAUAUUUAGUGACCUGAAAAGCAUGGCAGAGUUAUAAAAAUUUAUUUAAUUGAUAUUGAUAGAUGAAAAAAUGGAUUAUAAUUAUCAAGCAUCAUUUACUUUAAUAUUUUUGAAGAAUUGAAGGGUGGAUUUAGAUUAUGGUAACAUUGGAAAUAACAGUAAUCCUAUUUGGAGUGUGCAUUUAUGUUGACUGAUAUCUGACAAGAUACAGAGAUCCUGAUGAAAGUCAUGCCACCAUCUUAUCACUUCAAACUAUCAUCGCUUUUAUUCAGAGAUUGUACUUGGUGAAUACUUAAAUUUGGCAUAAAAUUUAAGCAACUGUUUGUUAUUUUUCCUAUUAUUUAUUUUUAAGAAACUAGUUGAAAGUAUGUUUAAAUUUAUGGAAAAUUAGUCAUCACUAUAAAAAUGUAUAAGGCUUAAGCUCUUUCUCACUAGAAGAUUUGAUACUAAAUUUAUUGCUUCCAGUUAAAAAAAGAGAAAAUACUUAUUUUCUCUCUUUGGCCAGGAACUGAAUUUAAAAGGUUGAAAAAAAUGAUACCUAGGACUAAGGUCUUAAGGAUUAUUUAGGACAGAAUGGUUGGUAAAAGAUUUAAUACAGCCUUAUUGCAGAAAAUGCCAACAUUUCUACUGAUUUCUCUGUAGGAACCAAGGUCAUAAAAUACUGCCUUCCCUCACAUUUAGCCCCUUUCAUUUCUGUAGGUCUGUUUAGGUACAUAAAUUUUGAUUCAUUUGUCUGGCUAAAAAAAAUAUAAUAAUGACAAAUGAACAGUGUGGCAGUGUCACUGUUGAAAGUGGUACCUGCAGCAUUUAUUUUGAGAGGAACAUCCUCCCGGGACUGCAAGUUUUAAAUUGCAUGUGAAAGCAGUAAGAAUUGACACAAAUUCAAGAAAUAGAUUGAAGACCUGGCACGA